rnacentral:rRNA from 1 species
AGUGAACGCUGGCGGUAGGCCUAACACAUGCAGGUCGAACGGCAGCACAGGAGAGCUUGCUCUCUAGGUGGCGAGUGGCGUACGGGUGAGGAAUACAUCGGAAUCUGCCCAGUCGUGGGGGAUAACGUAGGGAAACUUACGCUAAUACCGCAUACGACCUUCGGGUGAAAGAGGGGGAUCGCAAGACCUCUCGCGAUUGGAUGAGCCGAUGUCGGAUUAGCUAGUUAGCGGGGUAAUGGCCCACCAAGGCGACGAUCCGUAGCUGGUCUGAGAGGAUGAUCAGCCACACUGGAACUGAGACACGGUCCAGACUCCUACGGGAGGCAGCAGUGGGGAAUAUUGGACAAUGGGCGCAAGCCUGAUCCAGCCAUACCGCGUGGGUGAAGAAGGCCUUCGGGUUGUAAAGCCCUUUUGUUGGGAAAGAAAUCUUUCAGGCUAAUACCCUGGGAGGAUGACGGUACCCAAAGAAUAAGCACCGGCUAACUUCGUG